AGUGUAGGUGGCUCAUUAAGUCACAUGUGAAAUCCCCGGGCUUAACCUGGGAACUGCAUGUGAUACUGGUGGUGCUAGAAUAUGUGAGAGGGAAGUAGAAUUCCAGGUGUAGCGGUGAAAUGCGUAGAGAUCUGGAGGAAUACCGAUGGCGAAGGCAGCUUCCUGGCAUAAUAUUGACACUGAGAUUCGAAAGCGUGGGUAGCAAACAGGAUUAGAUACCCUGGUAGUCCACGCCGUAAACGAUGUCUACUAGCCGUUGGGGUCCUUGAGACUUUAGUGGCGCAGUUAACGCGAUAAGUAGACCGCCUGGGGAGUACGGCCGCAAGGUUAAAACUCAAAUGAAUUGACGGGGGCCCGCACAAGCGGUGGAGCAUGUGGUUUAAUUCGAUGCAACGCGAAGAACCUUACCUGGUCUUGACAUAGUGAGAAUCCUGCAGAGAUGCGGGAGUGCCUUCGGGAAUUCACAUACAGGUGCUGCAUGGCUGUCGUCAGCUCGUGUCGUGAGAUGUUGGGUUAAGUCCCGCAACGAGCGCAACCCUUUUCCUUAUUUGCCAGCGGGUUAAGCCGGGAACUUUAAGGAUACUGCCAGUGACAAACUGGAGGAAGGCGGGGACGACGUCAAGUCAUCAUGGCCCUUACGACCAGGGCUACACACGUGCUACAAUGGUAGGUACAGAGGGUUGCUACACAGCGAUGUGAUGCUAAUCUCAAAAAGCCUAUCGUAGUCCGGAUUGGAGUCUGCAACUCGACUCCAUGAAGUCGGAAUCGCUAGUA
rnacentral:rRNA from 1 species